rnacentral:rRNA from 1 species
GACGAACGCUGGCGGCGUGCUUAACACAUGCAAGUCGAACGAAGUGGCGAACGGGUGAGUAACGCGUCAUCAACCUGCCAUUCAGCGGGGGACAACAGUUGGAAACGACUGCUAAUACCCAAUACUGAAUGAGGGGAUUGCGUCUGAUUAGCUCGUUGGGGGGGUAACGGCCCACCAAGGCGAUGGUACGUAACCGGUGUGAGAGGAAGAACGGGCACAAUGGGACUGAGACAAGGCCCAGAAUCCGACGGGAGGCAGCAGGGGGGAAACUUUGGAAAUGGACGAAAGUCGGACGGAGCAACGCCGGGUGAUUGAUGACGGCCUUCGGGUUGUAAAGCUAUGGUAAUCUGGACGCGGUAUCGGAAUAGAAAGCCACGGCUAACUACGUGCCAGCAGCCGCGGUAAUAC